AGUGAGUGAUGACCACUUCUACCCUGAUAAUAAUGAGGGUACAAACUGAUUUAAUGAGUCUGACAC